AGCAUUUGCUACAGAGAGGCGUUGUUACCAGCCUGACCUUGAUAUAUUCGCAUUCAUUUACUCGUUCAGCCACAGACUUCCAAGUGUCGCUGUCGUGCUAGGAGAUCGCAUCUCUGGAAAUAGUCUCGACUGGAGCGGGUCAUGGGGUUGGUGCCACUUGGAAUACGAAACUGAGCCUCGGGUUCUUUAUUUGUGAAACACCAGGCUGGUGGUGACGCCUGGCGGUGGCGGGAGGGAUAACCGCGACCUCCACU
rnacentral:lncRNA from 1 species